rnacentral:lncRNA from 1 species
UAUAUUUCAUGAUUUUUGGAAUUUUUCACAAUUUGGGAUUUUGUGAAAAUUUUUUAGUAGUUUUUGGUUCCAAAUUUCAUUUACGUGAUCCAUGUAUUUUUUUUUUUUGGCAUCUACAAAAAAAUUUUGCUAAAAAAUCAAAGUGUAAAAGAAUUUGUGGCCAUUUGAAAAAAGUAUCCUUAUUUUAGACACAUGAAUGGCUACCACCUGUGAACUUGUAAAAGCUCUUAUACUCUUUAAAGGGGUGUGAGUUGUUGAGGUUUCUUUGGGGAUAGGGGGCCAAAUAAGGGCUAAAGACUAGCACCCAUCACCCAUCAUGCGCACACACCCAUCAGCCUCCUCUCCCAAUUAUUGGAACCCCUAAUACCACCAGUCAGAUUCUUUAACGAAGCUCCGACAAUGGUGCCCUAGGUAAAAAAAAUGUAGAACUAGCACAUGCCAAAGCCCAACAUAUGCAUCAUGGCCUAGAAUUAAACUUCAGCCAUGACCUCGACCAUCAUCGGUACAUGUUAGUGCAUGGUGUGGGCAUAUGCCUUGACCAUUAUCGGCACAAGUUGGCCUUGAGUAUUGACAUUUGCCUCGACCAUCAUCAGCACAAGCUAGCCUUUAGUAUGGGCACUUGCCUCAACAACUAUCGACACAUGAUAGCUAUAGGUAUAGGCACAUGCCUUAGUCAACAUUAACAGAAGAUGGCCCUUGGUGCGAGCAGUUGCCCUAAACACCAUCGAUACAUGUUAGCCCUUGCUAUGGGCAUUUGCCUCAAAGACCAUUGGUAAAUGCUAGGCCCUUGCUACGGGCACAUGCCUCGACCACCAUCAGCACCCGCAGACCCUUCGUGCAGGAUAGGCCUAUUUGAAAAAAAUGUCUCCAUUUCAAAUACUUUAAUGUCUACUGCUAGUAUAUUUGUAAAAUCUCUUAUGCUUUAUAGGGGGUGGUUGUCCAAGUCCCCCUUCCCCCCACAGUAGGAGUAGGUGUGCAUGAUGGAGCUAUCAUUGCAUACAUCCAUAGCAAUGUCUUUAAAGCAAAAUUCAGACUAUGCAUGCCUUCUGGCUGUGUUAUCCGGUGAUUGGUUACUCUAAUGACCCAUAAAUUCUCAUGUCCUCGACUAGUUGGCGUGUAUGUAGAAAAAAGGCUCAGUAGUGUUGAGCUCAAGCCCAUGUGUCAUGGGUCACACAUUCCUUACACUGAAACCACUCAUUCAUGUAGCACCAAGACUACUUUUAGUCAAAGUCAACCUUUCUCGAGUCUAUUUCUCCAUCGGUAAAUCAUUUCUGAUCAUUCAAGCUAUAUACUCUGAGCUUUUCUUGGCUCUAACCCCAAAAGGUCAUAUAUUCCCAAACUUGAUAGGGAGGAACCCAAUUCCCAUCAUUAUAAUCAACUGACGAUUCUUAGGGUGGCCCCAAACAACCAUCUCUACCCAUAGGCAUCAAGACCUUGAGCAUCGACCCAUUUUUCUCAUAAAGGCACAUAGCUCUAGUGCUCAUGAUAUUAUCUUAUUCCAACAUGGUGAGACCCUAACACCAUGCCCACCCAAAUCAUUCGCAAGCUCUUGUGCCUAGAUCCUAAAGGCAUAACACAGAUGUCGAUCCAUAGCCAACCCGAAUUCACACUAGGCUCGUCUUGUCUCAUGAAACUUGCCUACCUACUAGCCAAGAGAGUGGUAGAGAGUUGACACCAAUCGUCCCCUUAUAAAGAGCAGAAGAGCUUUUCUAGCCAUCUUACCAGGAAUUGUAAGAAUGUCUAAAAUGGGGACACUUUCUCUCCAGCCACCUUAAGGCCUUUUUCAACCAACUCAGGGCCUAGUUACUUUUCUCUUGGCCAUCAUAAUUCUAGUAUUCCACUCGUUGAUCCACUAACCCACUCAAAGGUACCCGUAUAUGGCUUCGACUGAUAGCACUUAACUGGUUAUAUGGCUCUAAGGUGCCCACCUACUGGCUCACACUUGCCUACACAUCUUGGGGCCUAAGGCUUACAUUACCUACACACACUAUCAACAACAUGUUCCUAGGCUUAUAUUGCCUAUGCAUAGCUCUAGGACCACUAUCUAGACCACAAGGGCUCAUUCGUUACUCAGCUUAGAGUUAGUCAUAGCAGGACUAAGGCAUACCAAGGCCUGACCAUGACACUCUCCUCCACUUACUAGGUUGAUACCCUUAUCAAUGGUAAGGCCACACCUAACUCUUUUGUUGCACACUGUUGACAUUUUCAUAUAUGUCUCUCAUUUAUGCCCUUAAGGAUUGGGUCGAGAUCCCAUCACAUGAAGCAUCACCUAUAGUACUCAUUCAUUAUCGAUGUAGAUGAGUCUCAUCCCAACUCCAUUGCACCUUUAUGCUAGUUUUAAAUCUAACCACCAGAUUCUAUCUCAAUUACUUAAUAUGUAUUACUACAUCGCUUAACCCAUGAUCACAUCUUGUUACGACCUCAAGGCACCUUUGUCAUUCAUGAACUUCAGUAGAAUGAAUGACCACUUGCAUUGCCACGCAUUGGUAUGCCCCGCUAGAAGUGACUCAUCACACCAACCACAUGCCUGUGGCACCGACUAUUUGAUGCUCCCCUCUAGAUGUGGUAUUUAGGUCAAUCGCACUCAUAACCACCAAUAAUAGACCCUAGCAUGGUGGCAUUCAAACACUUUGGUCAUCUCACAACUUAGGUCUAUUCGACCCUCUAAGGUCACCUCUCUAGGUAUGGCCCUCUGAAUAAUUACCCUCAUGGCAGCACCUUAAUGCAUGCUAUUCAAACUCAAUCACAUACUCAAUACUCAUAGGCUCCAUUGCCUUGGCUUAAUACCACUAGAAAUCACAAGUUCCCUCACUUUUACUCAAACUCAGCUCAGUUUCGCACGCAGUCAUUUCUCCAUGAUGGUUCCACAACUUAUUUUCCUUGACUCUAGCAUAUCUCAAAGGGUAACUCAAAGCCCACACAAAGCUCAAUGAUCCAUUGAUCCAUCGAUCACACUAUUCAUUGAUUGCUUAAUCUUAGGGUUCACCAACCCACUCGAUACUUAAGUUCCACUGACUUACUCAAACUCAUGGCCAUCAUAUUGGCUAAAAUCUACUAAAAAAAGUUCCAUAUUUGGCUCAAUCCAUCGGCUCAAUUUUGCCUUGCUUAAACUCAUCCAAUCUGCUACCCAUAUUUCACUUGAAUGCCAAUACCAUUGGCUUACUUAACUCAAUUAGUCUUUUGACCCAUACAACUCAAGGCCUUGUCAACUGGCCAAAUUCUCACUUACUUGUUCCACUGAACUAUACACUAUUAUGGUCCAUUGACCACCACAUCUCCUAAGGCCUUCCCUUUCGGCCAACACAAGCACGGUCCACUGAUUGGCACACUCUCGUGAUCCUUUGACCACAAGAACUCAUGGUCCAUUGACCAUCAUCAACUCAUGGCUUCAAUCAUCAACUAACUUAAACUCAUUUACCUUUGUAAAGUGGCUCAACACUUGGAUCCAAAAUAUUUAGCUCGUACCCUCGUUAAGGUACCUACACCACACAACAAGUGCACAUGUUAGUAACUAAUCUCAAUACGCAUAACUUGUGUCCCUAAGGACAGAACUCGCUUCGUCUUACUCAACACCAUUUCAUGGUGUAUGCCUUUUUUGCUUUUCAGUCUCAACAUGGUUUUCCCCUCUAUAAAGUCAUCACAUUCCUACAUGCGCUAACACCUUUUGUUAGCUCUAACUAAACUCCCAUGCCUUUUCACUUGGCAUCUAAAAGUUAACUUAAAGGCCUUCCACCUAGGCUAAUUUUUCUCACAGCACACAUCAAUGGCUCAUUCUCGAGCCCAUAUGGUGGCAUUAUCACAAUCUCAUCUCAAUAGUUCUCAAUGAGCUUUGUAUUAUCUCAAUUUCUUAAUAUCAUGCCUAAACUUAAGGCCAUUUUAGUCCUACUGUUGAGCCAAACUAGGUUCUAAUACCAAAAUGUCAUGGGUCACAUGUUUCUUAGAGUGAAACAAUACAUCCGUGUGACACCAAGACUACUUUUAGUCAAGGUUAACCUUUCUCAAGUCCAUUUCUUCAUGGAUAGAUCAUUUUCGAUCUUUUGAGAUGCAUACUUAUGAGCUUUUCUUGGUUCUAACCUCAUAAGGUCGUACAUUCCCAAAAUUAAUAGGGAGGAACCCAAUUCGCAUUGUUAUAAUCAAUCCAUAAUUCUUAGGGUGGCCCAAGCAACCAUCUUUGCCCACAGGCAUUAAGAUCCCGAGCACCAACUUACCUUGCUUAUAAGGGCACAUCACCUUAGUUCUUAUGAUAUUACCUUAUUAUGGCAUGGUGAGAACCUAACGCCAUGCCUGUCUAAAUCAUCUGUAAGCUUUUGUGCCUAAAACUUGAAAGUACAGCACAGAUGCUAGUCUAUAACUAGCACGAAGCCACACUAGGCUUGUCUUGUCCUAUAAAACUCAUAUAUCUGGGCCUCAAGCCUUAGCCUCAUUCUAGGCUACCUGUACACAUGAUAGACACUGGACAUCAUGCCUAUCCCACCUUAAGGAACUCAAGUGUGCUACCCUAACCAUAACACACCUUUAUCGAUGGGUCACUAGGGGCUAGAAGCGUGCUUACCUACUAGCUCGCUUAUCCCUUAGGCUUAAUGGUGCCCCUCUUACGCAAACACCAUCUCAUGAUCGUUGGUUACUUAUCGAUCUAGCUCAAGAGAAAAAAUUGAGAGGCAUAGUAAAUGUUAUCGUUUAACCCUAUAGUUUAACAUAAAGGCAUGAUACGAGGUUGAUCGGCCCCCACCAUCUUUGGGUUUACCAUGCCCAAGGAGAUACCACGCCACACUCAUUACUUAACAAUGCUUACCCACUUAAACACCACAUGUGCCUAGGAGUAAGUCACUUUAUACUAGCUAGGCCCUCACUUGUCGACUAGCCAAAGGGUUGAAAGAGAGCUGACACUAGUCAUCUCCUUAUAAAGAGCAUAAGAGCUUUCCUAGCCAUUCUACUAGAAACCAUAAAAAUGUUUGAAAUGGGGACACUUUUCUCCCCAGCUACCUCAAGGCCUUUUUUUAACCAAUUUAAAGCCCAAUGACCUUUUUCUUGGCCACUAUAAUUCUAGCAUUUCACUCAUUGCUCCACCAAACCAUUUGAGGGUGCUCACACACAGCUUUGAAUGAUAGCACCCAACUAACGAACUGACUCCAUGGCAUCAACCUAUUGGCUCACACUUACUUAUGCAUCUAAGGGUCUAGGGCUUUUACUACUUGUAUACACUAUCAGCAACAUUUUUUAGGCUUACACUACUCAUGCAAAGCUCCAAGUCCACUAUCUUAACCAUAAGGCCUCAUCCACUAUUCAACUCAGGGUCAGUCAUGGUAGGAUCAAAGCACACUAGGGCUAACCAUGACACCGUGCCUAUGGCUAAUGCUGCCCUAGACCCUAAACCAAGUCCCUAAAUUGGGUAACAACUCCAUAGGAUGGUGCAAGAAGAAGCUAUAAUUGCUAGCUUGGUCUAACUAAGUCUCUAGGGUAUGUGCUAAUCUUAUGGUCCCUUCUUAUCGACCAUAAAAAUGCCUUGGCUUAGCCAAGCCUACACAUACAGUCAAUGCUACCUAAAACCCUAAAAAUAAGUCUUCAAUUUGGGUAAUGUCCCUCUAGAUUGGUGGCAGUGAAGUUUACGUGUGCAGUCUUGGCCAGACCAAGCAUUGGUAGCAUCAUGCCAUUAUUUUUUGUUGGAUGGUAGAGGUAGUCUCAUUGCCCUUGCUUAUGUUUUUCCAGUGUCAAGCGAUUAUGGCAUGGCUUCGUACAUCAUUUCCUCCAUUCACUCUUUGAGUAAUCGAUUGUAGGUCAUGAACUAAUGUAUGUGGAUGCUACCAUUUAUACACAAUGGGCAUAUAAGUGGUGCUAUGGUUGUGCAUAUUGGUAGGCUUCACGCUCGAUGCAUCAAACUAUCAACCUGUCAUCCUCUUCAAUCUCUCUCAUGUGGUCAUCAUACUCUGAGGGUGUAAUCAAGAUCUUGUGCUGCAUACCUAAAUCUAUAAAAACUAAAUAUCUUGCCAUCCCUCAUCCAUUUUAUGUAUUUAAAAGCUACAAGUUGGACCUUAAUAAUGCCCUGUGUCCCAAGUGUGCCACCUAAACCUUUGUGGUCGCAUUGGUGAAUUAGUGUUUGAUAUUGCUCUUGGAUGUAGAACAUUUUACAGGCACAAGCUUUCGACCCUUGUUCAUCCAAUGCUAUGUAGUUUAUGUGCUUGACACACAUGACACUUAUGCUCUGUGUUACCUCUCUCUAUCAUUCAGUCGGUGCAUUAAGGCCCAUGUGGUGCCAAUGUCCUAAAGGAAUGCUACCUGGUUGAUUUUGCUAGUAGUCAUAUGCUUGUCUCAAAGAUUAAGCCAUGCAUGUGUAAAUAUGAACUAAUUAUGAUUGUGAAACUACGAAUGGUUCAUUAAAUCAAUUAUAGUUUGUUUGAUGGUAUGUACUGCUUAGAUAAUCUAGUAAUUCUAGAGCUAAUACGUGCAACAAACCCUAACUUUUAGAAGGGAUACAGUUAUUAAAUAAAAGGUAGAUGCAGGCUUUACUUAUUAUUUCGAUGAUUCAUGAUAACUUGACGGAUCGUAUGGCCUUUGUAUCGAUGUUACAUCAUUCAAAUUUUUGCCCUAUCAACUUUUGAUGAUAGGAUAAUAGCCUUUUAUGGUGGUGAUCGAUGAUGGAGAAUUAGGGUUCAAUUUUGGAUAAAGAGCCUAAGAAACAGCUACCACAUCCAAGAAAGGUAGUAGAUGUGUAAAUUACCCAAUCUUAACAUGAAGAGGUAGUGACAAUAACUAAUAAUACCGAGCUAUAAGAGUCUAGUAAUUAGAAUGAGUAAAAUCUAAAUCCCUUAAUGAAGAUCCAUUUGAGGGCAAGUCUAGUGCUAGCAGCUGUGGUAAUUCCAACUCCAAUAGCAUAUAUUUAAAUUGUUGCAAUUAAAAAGCUCAUAGUUGGAACUAGGUUGGGUCAUUCGAUCUAUCUCAUGGUAAGCACUAAUCUACUCAUACCUACUGCCAGUGAUAUGCUUAUGGCUUUAACUGGUCGGGUCAUUCCUCUAGCACUAUUACUUUGAAAAAAUUAGAGUGCUCAAAGCAGGCUUACGCUUGUAUACAUUAGCAUGGGAUAACAUCAUAGGACUUGUAUUUCAUAGUUAGAGGUGAAAUAAUGAUUAAUCGAAUAGUCGAAGGCAUUUUUAUUUCUUAGUUAAAGGUGAAAUUCUUGGAUUUAUGAAAGAUAAACAACUAUGAAAGCAUUUGCGAAAAAUUUUUUCAUUAAUCAAGAAUGAAAAUUGGAGGCUCAAAGAUGAUCAAAUACUAUCCUAGUCUUAACCAUAAAUGAUGUUAACCAGGGAUCAGCGGAUGUUACUUUUAGGACUCUAUCAAUACCUUAUGAGAAAUCAAAGUCUUUAGGUUCCAAGGGAAGUAUAGUUGUUAGGCUAAAACUUAAAAGAAUUGAUGGAAGGGCACUACCAAGAAUGGAGCUUGUGGCUUAAUUUGACUCAACAUAAAGAAACUUACUAGGUCCAAACAUAGUGAGGAUUAAUAGACUGAUAGCUCUUUCUUGAUUCUAUGGGUGAUGGUGUAUGGCCAUUUUUAGUUAGUAGAGUGAUUUGUUUGGUUAAUUUUGUUAACGAAUGAGACCUCAGCCUACUAACUAGUUAUGCAAAAGUGAUCCUUCAAGGCUAAUGUCUUGGGGGACUAUGGCCACUUAGGCCAAGAAAGUUUAAGGCAAUAAUAGGUCUAUGAUGCCCUUAGAUGUUUUGGGCCGCACGUGCACUACACACAUGUAUUCAACAAGUCUAUAACCUUGGCCGACAAGCUUGGAUAAUCUUUAAAAUUUCAUCAUGAUGGGGAAAGAUCACUACAAUAGUUGGUCUUUAACAAGGAAUUCCUAAUAAGCAUGAAUCAUCAGCUCAUGUUGACUGUGUCCCUAUCCUUUGUGCACACUGCCCAUCACUCUUACUGAUUGAAUAGUUUUAUGAAGUGUUUAGAUUGUGGUGACAUGGAUGGUUCACUGCCCAUGAUGUCAUGAGAAAUCAUUGAACCUUAUCAUUUAGAGGAAUCAGAAGUCAUAACAAGGUUUCUAUAGGUGAACUUACAAAAUGAUCAUUGUCGAAACCUACUCAAUGAAAAACCUAUGAACCAUUAAAAAAACAUUGAGGAGGCGAAAGUGCCUCUAUACCUUGAGCCCCUUCCAACCCUGGAAAGGCAUGAUGGUCAAUUCAUUCUACCUUCAAGAUGGAUGAGAUGAUUAGUAUCAUCGUCGUGGCCAAAUAACAAACCACUAAUGUGAAUACUACUAAGAAAUGAGAAUGAAAAAAAAUGUGUAUGCUGCUGCCAUCCCGUUCGAGGUGCAUGCAUGAGCAGCAUUGUGACUUCUUUUGUCAUGAAAAAAAAAUGACUCUCAAUAAUGGAUAUCUCGACUUUCACAUUAAUGAAAAAUGUAGCAAAAUACGAUACUUGGUGUGAAUUGUAGAAACUCAUGAACCAUCAAGUCUUUGAAUGCAAGUUGCACCCCAAGCCAUUAGGUCGAAGGUAUGUUUGCCUAGGUGUCAUGCAUCAUCACCCCUUCCAACCCCCAACCUAUCUGGCUCUAGGUGAAGAAGGUGAAAAAUGGCCUCUCGUGAUCUCAUCAUUAGUGGUUGGUCCAAAAGUGAGUCUCCAGCAAUGAUAGCACUGUAGUCGUUGGUGGUAAAGCUCCCAACGUGACUCGUCUUCGGUGAUGCAUGCUUAUUGUCCAUCCAGACCUUCUCGAACCCCUUGUAUUGCUCAAUCAACACUCGCAUCAUGACCCCAAGUCAGGUAAGAUCAUCUACUAAGUUUAAAUAUAUCAAUAAGCAGAGGAAAAGAAAUUUACCAAGAUUUCCUUAAUAACAGUGAAUGAAUUGAGAAGAACCCAACUUGAGAAUUUAGUGGCUAUGACAUUCAAAUUGUAGUAUGAAAAAGCAUCCUUAGUGGUGAACCGGGCCUAAGUCCCUUAGAAAGGGGUUUCAAAGAGGGUGAGAGUCCUAUUAUGCUUAAACCUUAUCACAUUAUGAGGCACUAUUUACGAGUUAGGUUGUUUGGAAAUGAAGUUGCAAUUGGGUGAUAAAUUUCAUUCAAGGUUGAAUACGGGUGAGACAUUGAUAGCAAACAAGUACCAUGAGGGAAAGAUGGAAAGGACUUUGAAAAAAGAGUUAAAGAGUGCAUGAAAUUAUCAAGAGAGAAAUGGAUGAAGGCUACCAAUAUGCUCCAAUCAGAUGUGGAAUGAUGAGAGCCAAUCCAUCGAUUAGCUCAGGGCUUGGACAAAUGCAGGUCACAACAGUGGCCCAAGCUUGACUUUUCAAUAUGCUUGUAGAGACAUUGUCUUCAUGAUCAUGGAAUGUAGCACAUGUUAUCUCGACAUGCCUCAGCACUCAUGUACUCUGAGUGUCAACUUAUGGGCUUCCCAUCUGGUCUAUCUUGAAACACUCACCAAGAAGUCUGACAUAUGUGUGAGCCAAUGACCUAGAAAACUCAUAAGGCACGAGGAAACUUAUUGGUGAAAUCCCUUGUUAGUGCACCGUAGAUUGACCUUGAUCUUUUGAGAAUGAUUUGAGUGUAAGCAUGCCUGUCGAGACCUAAAAGAUAGUGAAUUAUGCCUAAGUAAGGCAAAGCUAGAGGAAAAUUUUGGUGGAAGCCUACAAUGAUAUUGACAUGCAAAUCAUUCAUCUGACUUGGGUAUAGUAGCAAAAGACUUAUCAAAUCAUCUAGUAGCUAGUUCCUUUUGAAGUUUCCCUUAGGAUAGCUAGAGCCCUUAGCGAGUUCUAUCAGGUAAACCUAAUGAUUAAAGGCAUUGAAGGCACAAUGCCCUUGACCAAUUCUUAAACUUUAAGUAGGUAGGACGACGUGACUGCUCUGUUGAGCCAUGCCACAGAAUCAAAAGCUCUAAAUGGGCCAUUUUUAGUAAGCAAAACUGACGAUGCAGGAUAAACUAAAAGUAAGGUUACAAUGCCAAACUACAUGUUAACCUAGAACCCAUAAAAGGGUGUUGAUUGAUUAAGACAGUAAGAAAGUGGGCAUGGAAGAUAAAAUCUACUAAAGAGUGUGUAACAACUCACCUACCAAAUCAAUUAGCUUUAAAAAUGGAUGGUGCUUAAGCACAUAACCUAUACUUGAUUGUCAAGGGAAGGGCCAGGGCCUGAUAAAUAGAAAGGUAUGGUGAUCACUGCAAAACCUAGGGUGCAAGCUUGGGUGGAAUGGUCAUUGGUGCAGAUCUUGGUGGUAGUAGUAAAUAUUCAAAUAAGAACUUUGAAGGUGAAAGAGGGGAAAGGUUUCAUGUGAAUGGCACUUGCAUAUAGGUUAGUUGAUCUUUAAAGACAAGGAAAGCCAUUCGAUAGCACAUUCAGAACAAGCUUAAAAAAAUCAAGUUAAAAUUCUUAAACUAGGAUGUGAUGACUGAUGGAAAUGUUAAAGAGUCUAAAGACAUCAACGAAGGCCUCGAAAAGAGUUAUUUUUUUGUUUAAUAGCUUACCCCUCUUGGAAACAACUUAGCCAAAGGUCGGGUCCAGUGGUCAGAAAAACAUCGCACAUCACAUGGUGUCUAGUACGCCCCUAAUGUCCCUUAAAAAUCCAAAGGAUCAAGUCUAGUCUACUCAUAAUAGCAUCAGGUUUUUAAGGUGAGCAACCUCUAGUCGAUGGAAUAAUAUACGGAAGGAAAGUCGAUAAAAUUGAUCUAUAACCUAGAGAAAAAGAUUGGCUUUGAGGGUUGGGCAUGGGGAUCCAAAUUUCCAACCCAUUGGCUGUCGGUGCACUACUCGAGCUAUUCCCACAACAAAAAUAAGCCACCGUGUGUUAGUCGAGGGAUGGACUGGGAAUAACUCCCUUAGAGGCCUUCCCCAAGUGAUGAACAAUCAACUCAAAAUUGGUAUAGACAAGGGAAAUCCAACUGUUUAAUUAAAACAAAGCAUUACGAUGGUCCUUACGGGUGCUCAUGCAAUGUGUUUCAACCCAGUGCUCAGAAUGUUAAAGUGUAAUCCCCAGAGUUUAGGCAUGUAUCUCAGGUACUCAUUGUAAAAGGGGCUCAACUAUAAAUAGAGAGUCCUCUACCUUCAUAGUACACACAGACCAGAACCAUUGAGUAACAAUGUCCUUACUUUUACCUUAAACUUUAUGUUGUUCUUUUAUUAGCCUUUAUUCUAGCAUUUGCUAUGCCUUUUCAUUUUAUAGUGUACUGGGAGGCCAAGCCUCACAGUUUAGAGCAUCCAUGCACUAUUUCUUGUGUUAGGCUGAUUUGGGAUGUCAAAAAGUCCAUUCUCAUGUCCUGGAGUUGCACGAGCUUGGAGCUUGAGUCUCAGCCCUUGACAAGUGGCAUGAGAGCCUUGUUCGAAGUAGGCCAUAGAGUUUAAUACCAAGCGAUAUUAGAACCUGGCUCAAGGGAGCUUGAAGUAGGUGGUAGAACCAAAUACCAUGAGGUAUCAAAGCUUUGAUCAGACCAGAAGUGGUAACUAAAGCUUGGGUAUAGAGUGUGCAACAGAUCCAUGCUCAUGACAAAAGUAGUUAAGGUUACCAUGAAAGCCAAAGUUGGUGUGGGGAGCCACAAUUGGCCCCAAUGCAGGUUAGGGGACUUGCAUGGUGGCAUCUUAGUGUGAAACAUAGGCAUCCUAGUAUGGUGUGCAGACAUUUGACUGUAUGGUGUGGGUAAUUUACUAUAUAAUGUAUGCAUUUUAAAAAGGCUAUUGUACUUAUGUAUCGGUGAAACACUCCUAAGGUGCUAGGUGCAGCCAUGUUAGAGUGUAGGAUAGGUGCUCGACAAAUUAUGCUAUGUGUUAUGCUAGUGUGCUAUGUUGACAAACUGGUGUGCUAGUUGGCAGGAUUUAGAACCAGAUUACUUGAGUGUCUACUAGUGUUGAGGUAAUCCUUUUGUUUAUGCAUUUAUGGUCUAACACUUUUUGUGUUAUGGGCUAUGUCAUGAGUAGGAAAAACCAGACAAGAGGCCAAAGUGAGAUGCUUGAGGAGUGCCCAUCUAUAGACAAGUGGAAAAAGGCUUUAGCAGGAUAUGUGUCAACAAGCACUUAAUUAACGAAAUGUGAAGAGGCUAUUCUACAAAUAAAGAUCAAUUCAUGAACAUUAAGGGAUCCUUAAAUAAAGCAAUAGAGAAGCUCAUGCAGCAUAAUAAGGUAUUAGAGUCCAUGGUAACAACCUUACGAGAAUAGCUAGCUAGACUCAAAGUUGACCAUGCUACAUUAUGAGCUACUGUGGCUAUUGGUACGAGCUUGGGAUCGAGAGUGGAGAUGCCUAAGCAUUUCAUUAAUGGAUUAAAGCUAUAGGUAAUGGCCAAGUUACAAUAAAGAGGUAUGUAAGAGUCGAGUCAGGCUAGAGUUGCUAUGAAAUCAUUGACUCAAAUUGAGAGCACUUGUCUCCAAGGCUGAAGAGAAAUGGCCAAAGUGGGAGAAACACCAGUAUUUGUUCUUUAGGGGAGGAAAGGGCUAUAAGAAAGCCCAGAUUUUAUAAAAUCAAUAGAAUCAUUAGCAAGAGUAAGGGGAAAAAACCUCUAAGUUACUAUUUUUGUGCCUGUCCAUAUCAGGUCAAAGAAUGCCUGAAACUUUCAGUUAUCAAGCGAGCAAAGGGGUUAUCUAAAGGUAAGAAUGACAGGGUAAACAACACCAAAAAAAGCCUAAAGAAGAGUGGCCAAUCGCUAGUCAAGACUAUUAAGAGGUUGGAACCUCUUAAAAAGUUGAUGAAGAGAAACUAGUGGUAACUAAGUGCCACAACAUGAGUCCUAUAGUGCAACCAAAUUCCUCACAAGAGAGUGCCCCAUGGGUAACUCAAAAAAAGCACAAGAAGCAUCGAUAGCAUGGGCAAAAGAGACCAUUACAUUAGAGUGUUAGGGAACAUAUGAUCAAAAAUAACGAAAGCUAGCAAAGUACAUGUUCAAGUAUAGGACUAAAAUGUUGGAAAACUAGUUCACAGGGUAAAAGUUAAAAUUGACAUAUAAGGUGGACUCAUCAUUCCCUUAGCAAUAAAGGCAUUGCUAGAAUGAGUGGGGGAGAAUAUCAUGAUCCAUAAGCUGGUACAUGCCUAGGGGUUUUCUUUGAAUCAAGUGAUUGGUCCAAUUCUAGUAGGACAAAAUAAGGGUGGAGGAAUAGUUUAUGGUUUUUUUAGCUUUCCAUCAAACAAUUUAUAUACAACCUUAUCUAGUAGCAGUUUGGGGUAGCUGGCCUUAAAGUUUUGAGUGUCUACAUACAAGUCCAGUUGAAGGCUAAUUUAAGACGUCAGAUGAGUCAAUUCUUAGGCUUUGGAGUCGCAUGAGUUGGAGCUUGAGUCUCAGCCCAUGACAAGUGGUAUCAAAGUAAGUUUGAAGUUGGCUCAGAGUUGACAAAAGCUGGUCCAUAGAAAGUGAUAGUAUUGGGUGUUGUUGGAACCAGAGUUAGCCUCAGAGGAAGUUUCAGACAUAUUAGUGUGAGCAUUCAUUCAUGUGGUGCAAGCAUCCUAGGCCGUUUCUAUGCUUGUGUAUUAGUGAUACACCCCUGAAGGUGCGGGCGUACAGGAGUGUAGAAUAGGUAUUUGAUUGAUUGUUGCUAAGCAUACUAUGUAGAUGUGUAGACUACUACCUAACCAAAAGUGCAGGGUGUAUUGAGCCAAUAUGUAGAUUGGUGCCUAAUAAUGUGUGUGCUGGUGUGCUGUACCAAUAGACAUGUGUUUUAGUUCAUGAAGACUAAGAUUAGAUCAUUGAAGUGUGUAAAAGGUUGAGGUAAUAUUUUUGGUUUUAUGCAUUUGUGACUGACAAAGUGUUUAGGGCCAUGGCAUGGCUAGGUAAACCAAAUAGAAAGCCAAACCAAAGGCCUUAAUAAGUGCCCAAAUGCCUUGAUGAGUGCCUAUCUUUAGGCAUAAUGAAGGAGGCUGGAUCGAGAAGCACGGUGAUAUCCUUGGAUACCUAACUGUAAAAGUAUGAGGUGACCAUUAUGAUUUGAGGGACAAGUUUAAGGACAAGCAAAGAUCCUUGAAUGAGGCAUUAGAGGUGAUCAUACAGUGGAAUGAGAUAUUAGAGACCAUGGUGUCAACCUUGCAAGAGGAGCUAGUGAGGUCAGGGUUAAUUACGCUACGUUACGAGUUACCAUAGUUACUAGUAUCAGCUUAGGACCUAAGGUGGUAGUGCCUAAGCAUUUCUUAGAUGGUCAAAAGCUAAGGGUAAAUAUUGUGUUAUAAUAGAGUGGCAUGUAAAAGUCAAGUGGGGCUAGUGUUAUUACAGAAUCGAAGACUUAAGUUGAGUGCACCAAGUCUCUAAGGCCUAGAGAAAUAACCAGAGUGGUAGAGAUAUCGAUGUUUAUUCCUCAAAGGAAUAAGAGGCUAUGGGAAAGCCCAGAUUUUGCAAGGCUAAUAGUGCUAUCAAUAGGGGCAAGGAGAAAACAAAUUUGAGUUACUUUUUAUGUGGCAGUCAGCAUAGGGUCAAGAAGUGCCCAAGGCAUGCAAGGCUUUCAACCAUCAACAGGGUAAAAAAACUAUCCGUAGGUAAGAAUAGUAACAGUGAUAAGCAUUAAAAGGAGCCAAGGUAAUGCAGCUCAAUACUUUUUAAUUCUAUAGUGAAGGUAUAACCUUUACAGGAGAUGAGGGCAAAUGACAAUAGAGUGCUACAGCAUAAGCUCAAGAUGUAAUUAGAUAAAAAAAAAAGUGCAUAGAGUAACUUAAAGGAAAUAGAAGAAACAUCGAGUGUGCAAGCAAAAAGGAUAAGUGUAGCAUGGGGCUAGUGAUACUAAAAAAAAUGAUCAGUAGAAUACUUGUUUAGGUAUGGGAUAAACACAUGGGAAAUCUAGUUUGAAGGGCAGAAGAUGAAGCCAAAAGGCAUAGGGACAUGCAGUCUAGGCAUAACAUCGCUCUAGCAAUGAGGGUGUUGCUAUAAUGAGUGAGAAGGAAUGUCAUGGUCCAUGGGAAAAACCAAACCUAAAGGUUCUCACCGAGAUAGAGAACGGUUCUAAGGCAAUUGGGACUAAGUUAGGAUACAAGAGAAACUAAGCCUAAAGGCACAAGCCUAAAGCCCAGAAUGGGUGCGUAAAUGCUAAAAUGAGCUCAGGCUAGGGGAUUUGGUUUGGUAAUUUUCAGAUAGACCUAGGAGCAAAAGCAAGAGUUAGCACAAGCAUGGGCAGAAUUGAUUAGGCAUGGGCCUAGAAAGGGGCCUCAAGUGGGCACUAUUCAAGAAAAAGUCUAAGGUGGUUCAUACUCUUUUCUGAUAGAGUCCAUGUAAAAUUAAAACUAUUCAUUGUAAUCCUAUUGUUAUCUCCUCUAUAUAUUGGACUCUUUGUAAGCCCUAUGAUAGGAACAAAGUCAGCCAUUGAUUCAAAGAGGCCUUAGCUAUAUAUAGAGGGUGCCCCUACCUUCAUUGUACACAUUUGACUUUUUUUUUAAUUUAUCUAUGACCACAGUCUGUAUGCUUUUUGUAAGAGGUUAUUGGAUCUAUAUUCUUUAUUGGUGCUGUAGGCUCAUUUUUUGGGGUCCUUCUUUACCAAAAUUUGUUGGAAAACCAUCCUUUUUGUGAUAUACUUUUCUUGGCCCUUUGUAGAUAGGGGCUUGCACAUUUAAUGUAAAAUUUUAGAUUAUGGAUAUCUCUUUUUCUUAUAGUUAUUUGUUAGGCUAGCCAUAGAUUCACAUGGUAGGUGUUGUCCCUCUUCCUGAUGCCAAAAAGUCAAGUUUAAUGUGAAGGGUCAAUUUGUGAUUGUGGCUAAAAAAAAAGAUUUAUUGGUGACUCAACCUAUGAAUGCUCCCUCUGUAAAGCUACAAAAGAAUCAUUAGAGUGUUCUUAUCUAUCCUUCGAGCUUGUCAAUACUGUUGAUGAAGGAUCUAAAUUAUACCAACUAGAUUUCACUAAGAUCAUGGUCGAUUAGAUUAUUAAUAAAGUUUGGUAUCCUAAAGCUAGGCUAGGUAAAAAUCUACAAGGAAUAAAAAAGCCAUAAAUAAUAAUAGACAACAGGGAAAGACUGGGCUUAGGAUAUAAGGUUAAGGAAUAGGAAAUAAAGAGAAAAUGAGAAAACAAAAAAGGAAAAAGGAUGGCAAAAAAUGUGUUAUUGGCCAUUCUAUACUUGUAUGAAACCUUUAGGCUAUGAGGAUAUAUGUAUCUAAAAUCAAAGGAAGUUGCUCAAAAGGAACUGAGAAUGGAAUAAGCUUUUGUUGAACUAUCAAUCCAGAUGAUAAGUGCAAAGGAUGAAAGUGGCAAAAAAGAAGAGGUGUUGGUCCAUCUAUGUUUGCCAAGCUUUAAGUUGAAGAAUUGAAGUAUCAUUGAGAUACUUGCUAUCUUUGAUACCCAUCUAAUGUAAUUAUAACUCCCAUUUGCUUAUGCCCAAAAGCAUUAGAAUGGUCUUUCCUGUAUGGGCCACCUAUCAUUUAUUAUUUCAAUAAAAGAGUAGGAGUAUAUAUUUUCAUUAAUUUCUUCUAUUAUUUUCAAUUUCCAUUUUCCUUCCAAUUAAAGUAUUUCACCAAUACUUCCUAUUUCAUUUAAUUCAAGUUUUUAAAUGAAUAUAAAGAUAAUCAUGAUAACAAUCAGGGAUUUAAUUUGGAAAUUUAAUUAAUGCUAAUGAACUUGGCAAUGAAGAUGAUUAUGAAGAAUACACUUUACCUCUAAAUGUAAUGAGAUUGAUUGAAUAGGAGAAUAAAUCUAUUGAGCCUCAUCAGGAAGUCAUUGAGAUGACAAAUUUAGGGGAUGAUGAGAAUAAAAAGGAAAUUAAGGCCGGUACAUCACUCCCAUUGGCCUAUAGACAAAAGUUAGAAGAUUUGCUUCGAGAAUUUGUGGAUGUGUUUACUAGGUCCUAUUAGGAUAUGCUCGAGCUUAGCACUAAAAUAUUGGAGCAUAGGUUACUCUUGAAGCUAGAAUGUAGGCUAGUCCAAUAGAAGUUGAGAUGGAUGAAGCCUGAAAUGAUAUUGAAGAUUAGAAAAAAGGUAAGAAAGUAGUUUGUUGCAAGCUUUCUGCAAGUAGCCAAAUAUUCAUAGUGGGUAGCUAACCUAGUACUUGUCUCAAAAAAAGAUGGAAAGGUAUACAUGUGCAUUAAUUAUUCCAAAAGAUAAUUUUCCUUUACCAUAUAUUGAUACAUUAGUAGAUAAUACGACUAGGCACUAUUUGUUUUUUUCGUGGAUGGAUUCUUGGGAUAUAAUUAGAUAAAGAUGGGCCAAGAUGAUGUGAAAAAAUCACUUUUAUAACCAUGUAAAGUACCUUUUGUUAUAAGGUUAUGCCUUCUAGUUUGAAGAAUCCUGGGGCAACUUAUCAAAAGGCCAAGGUGACACUCUUUCAUGAUAUGAUGCAUAAGGAGAUUGAAGUGUAUAUGGAUGAUAUAAUCACAAAAUCUCAUAAUGGAAAAGACCAUGUAGCUAACCUCAAAAAGUUGUUUGAGAGGUUAAAAAAGUUCUAGCUCAAGUUAAAUCCAUCCAAAUGUACAUUUGGAGCUAAGUUAGGGAAAUUGCUAAGCUUCAUGGUUAGUGAAAAAGGGAUUGAAGUUGAUCUAGACAAGAUACAUGCAAUCUAGAAUCUAUCUCUUCCAAGCAUGCUGAAAGAAGUCCAAGGUUUUUUUAACAGACUAAAUUACAUCUCUCAAUUCAUUUUCCAACUUACCUCUAAAUGCGAUCCCAUCUUUAAGCUCUUUUAAAAGAAUAAUCCUAGUGAGUGGAAUAAGAAUUUCAAGAUGCUUUUGAUAAAGUUAAACAGUAUUUGUCAAAUCCUCUAGUGUUGGUACCAUCUAUUUUAGAAAAACCGUUAAUUCUAUAUUUGACUAUACAUGAAAAGUGAAUGAGGUAUGUGGUUGGGCAACAAGAAGAGUUGGGAAACAAAGAAAGAGCUAUUUAUUACCUGAGUAAGAAAUUUAUAGAAUAUGAGUCCAAGUAUUUAUCAUUGGAGAAAAUGUGUUGUGCUUUGGUUGGGAUAGCUAAAAGACUUAGACAAUGUAUUCUCUAUCAUACCACUUAGCUUAUAACAAAAUUAGAUCCAAUCAAGUACAUUUUUAAAAAGCCUUCAUUGUCAGAAAGAAUUGCAAGGUGGUAGGUGAUGCUUUUAGAGUAUAAUACUAUAUAUGUAAGCUAAAAGGCGAUCAAAGGAAGUGUCAUAGUAGAAUUUCUUGCAAAUUAUGCUACUAAAAGCUAUGAGCCAAUAAGACUUGAUUUUUUGGAUGAAGAUUUAAUGGUAAUUUUUUAGUUAGAAGAUGAAGAUGAUAAGGAGAAAUCUUGGAAGAUGUACUUUGAAGGAGUUGUUGAUGCUUUGAGGCAUGGAAUUGGUGCAAUUCUGAUAUCUCCUAAAAGACAUUAUUAUCCCUUUAUAGCAAAGUUAGACUUCAAUUGCACUAAUAAUGUGACCAAAUAUGAAUCUUGUGUCAUGUGUUUACAAGUUGCUUUGGACAGAAAGAUUAAGGUAGUGAAGGUGUUCGAGGAUUCAACUUUGGUCAUCUAUUAAUUGAAGGAAGAAUGGGAGACAAAAAGAUUAAAAAAUUAUCACAUAUUAUAAGUACAUCUUAGAGUUGCUAAACAGUUCAAAGCAGUCUAAUUUGAACAUUAGCCCCAUGAAGAGAAUAAGAUUACAGAUGCUCUGACUACUCUGGCCACAAUGAUCCAAGUGUUAAGAAUACUAAAAUUUAGCAAUUAAGUUAGAUAUCAAAUAUAUACAGGUACAUUGCACCAAUGUGGAAAAAGAGAAAGAUAGAAAGCCCUAGUAUUAUGAUAACUUACAUAUUUUAGGAAUCAACAAUAUCUAGACCAAGUGACAAAAAAUGAUAAAAGAGUCCUAAGGAGAUUGUUUAUGAGACUUUUUCGAGAUGGUAAUGUUCUUUACAAGAGAAGCCUAGAUCAUGUGCUACUAUGAUGUGACUAAGGCAACAAAGAUUAUUAAAGAUAUACAUGAUGAAGUAUGCGAGGCACUUGCCAGCGAACAUAUGAUGGCAAGAUAGAUUAUGAAAGUUGGGUAUUAUUGGUUAAUAAUGGAGAAUGCAUGCAUCAAUUAUGCUUAAAAGUGCACUAUUUACAUGUUUUGGGAUCACCUUGGCCAUUUUUUAGGUUAGGCAUGGAUGUUAUUAGACCCAUUACUCUUAAGGCAUCAAAUAAGAAUAGAUUCAUUUUUGUGAUGAUCGAUUACUUCACAAAAUGGGUUAAGGUAGUCUCAUAUGCAAAUAUGACAUGAUUAGUAAUCUGUAAGUUUAUAAAGAGAGAAAAAAUUUAUAGAUAUGGACUCUUAGAAAGGGUCAUCUCGGAUAAUGUUAAAAACUUAAAUAGCAAGAUGAUAAAAGAGAUAUGUGCUUAAAUUAAAAUUAAGCACCAUAACUCAACACUAUAUCACCCAAAGGUGAAUGAAGCAAUAAAAGCUGCAAAUAAGAAUAUCAAAAGGAUUCUUGAGAAAAUGAUUGAGACUUAUAAAGAUUGGCAUGGGAAAAUGCCUUUUGUUUUACAUGCUUAUCAAAUGUCAAUACACACCUCUAUUGGGGCAACCUUAUUUUCCUUGGUUUAUGGGAUGAAGGUUGUACUGCUUGUAGAAGUAAAAAUCACAUCUUUAAAAGUCUUAAAGAAAGUAGGAUUAGAAGAAGCCAAAUAGAUUCAAUAGCACUAUAAGCAACUAAAUUUCAUUGAAAAAAAGAGGCUGGCAGUAUUGUGUCAUAGUCAAUUAUAUCAUAGAAGAAUGAUGAGAGCUCAUGACAAGAAAGUCUAACCUCAUUAAUUUUGAAAUUGAGAGUUGAUGUUGAAAAGAAUUCUUCCAAAUCAACAUGAUAACAGGGGAAAGUGGACCAAAAAUUGGGAAAUGCUAUAUGUUGUUAAAAAGGCAUUUUCGGGUGAAACAUUAAUUUUAAUAAAGAUGGAUGGAGAUGAACUUCCUAAUCCUAUAACUUUUGAUGCUGUGAAAAAGUGCUUUACUUAAAAAAAAACAACAACAACAAUAAAAAGGAAAGCUCAAAUUGAAAUCACAGAAGGGCAAUUUGAAACAAAAGAGGGUUUAUCGAAGUUGAAAACUUGUAAAAGCAACUUGGAUAAAGAGAGUACAGCAUCAUUUGGAAGGUUCACAAACAUGAAAGCUGGUGUAUUUUGAAGAGCUCUGAAGUGCUAAAGGCAUUGUAUGGUUGAGCUUUGAGAAGAUUUUGCGAUAUGUUGACAUGAUUAUCUGAUUGUGUAUUUUAGGGCAUUGUUAUCCCAAACAACCAAUUUUGUAUACCUUUACUUUGUCUAGUAGCAAAAAUUUCUCCCACAUAGCCAUCAUUUAUAAUCUAGCUUCUUUUCUAAAUAAAAGACAUUCAUUUCUUUCUAUUAUCUAUAUUUUAUUUUCAAUCCUUACCUUUUUUUUCCAUUUACAUGCCUUGUAAUGAAUAGAUGAUAUGUAUGAUUUGCAUCUUAUACAUCUUGAAAUUGGGAUAAUGAUUGAUAAUUGAGUAACUUCAUGAAAGGAUGUACAUUACUUUGGGGAAGUUGAGAGAGACGAAGGCAAAAGAUGAAACCUUCAAGGCUUGAUUCUAAAAAAAAAAUAAAGAAAAUUGCCCUAAAGAAAAAGGUGGGUGCCUAUUUUAAACAAUAAAGAAUAAAAUUGAUUUUGUUCCCAUUACUGCAAACUUGAAAAGUUUAGGAUUCAAAAGAAAGAGUCCUAAGAAUUUGUAUACCAUAAUUGAAAAUUCAUUAAUUAUCAUUUGCAUUGCAUAUAUUGCAUAUAAGGAAAUCUAUUGCAUUUAUUUAAAACGAGGAUAUCACAAAAUCCAACAUGGAGAAUACAAGUGCAAAGACUUCAAAUUCUCAAUGUAGAAAAAACUUCUGAGGUAAGAUUUUUAAGAAAGAGUUUUCUUUAAAAUACCUAUGACUAGAGGACCCGUUUCCUAUUUUAAAAUAUUUGAGCCUCUAGUUAGAGGAUUCUAUUUUAAAGUUGUUUAGCCUCUGUACAGAAGAGCUCAUUUUUUAUUUAAAGUUGUUUAGUCUUUGUAUAAAGGAAGCCCAUUUCUUAUUUAAAGUUGUUUAUCCUCUAUAUAGCGAAGCUCAUUUCUUAAUUUAAAGUUUCUUAAUUUAAAGUUGUUUAGCCUCUGUACAGAGGAUUUAAUUUAAAGUUGUUUUACCUCUGUAUAGAGGAGUCCACUUUGUAGAGCUUAUAUUUAGAGGAGUUAUUUGAAAAUUUUAAGUUUUAUGCCUCUGUUUAGAGGAAUUCUUUAAAAUUUUUCAAACACUGUUGCCUUUAUUUAUAAGAUUCCUUAAAAUUGCUUGAGUUGAACUAGACACAAUAAUUGUUUAUGUCUUUGCAUCAUUUCUGUUUCACAGAACUAUGCAAAGAGGGGCAACUGUAGACACCCUAUUCCAUCCAAGGCUUUAAAUCAAAUGCUUAGCUUGUUCAAGUUUAAGCAUGUUUGGAUAAUUAGGCCAUUGAAAUAUUUAUUGGAUUUCAAAUGGACCCAUUCAAUGGGUAUUUGGGCUUUAGGCCCAAGAGAUAAUUUUUAGGUUUUAGGUUUAAUAGGUGGCUUUAUUGGUUUUUCCAUUUAGGUUCGGUCUUUAGCCCAACAGUGUUUUUUUUUUAUUAAUAAUUUUUUUGUUUUUAUUUUAAUAAAAAUUAAAUAAAAAUAAAACAAGAAGGAAAGAAAAUUAAAACAAAUUCUUACGAUCCCAUUUCAGAAAUCAAAUCAAGUAGAAUCAUGGAUUUUAUAAAGGAAAUAAUGGUAGAUUUUUUGAUUGAAUGAUUUUGGGAAAGUCAUAAAUUAAAUCCAGAUUACAAAGGAUCAAAUCAUCCCCAAUUCAAGGGUUCAAUCCAAUUAUUUCUUCCAAAAUUAAAGGAAUUGAAUCCUAUAUAAAUUGUUCUAACAUAAACAAAUGGGGAAUGGAGGAAAAAGAAUAUGAAAAUUUUACAAGUAGUUAGGGUUUUGUUUUUGUUAUAUGUUUGCUAGGUUUCUCAAUUUUGGGUUUUUUUAGGCUUUUAGUUUUUUUUUGUUUUUUUGAAGUCUGGGAUUUUAGGAUUGGCUAAUUUGAAUAUGACUUGAAUUUAAUGUUUUUUGGAAGUUUUUUGGACUUUGUUGGAAAUUUGGGUUUUUCUAGGUUUUAUGAAUUUUUCGAUUAAAGUUUUUGUCACAUGUUGAAUUUCCUAGUGAGAUACUCUAGUUCCCAGCCAUUGAAUUCUCUUUUAGAGAGAGAAGCAACAAAAAACCAAAGGGUAAACAGAGAAUGGAGAUUUGAAAACUGAAGAAAAAAAGAACUUUUUUUUGCCUUUAAGGUGAGCCAAAAUGCACCAUUUCAUUAAAAGAGGAUCCACGUGUUUCUUUAAAUAUGAACCAAUACUCAUGCAACUCAGUUUCAACCCACAUUCCAUUUCUGCUCUAAGUUGAGUCGCACCAGUUGGAGUCACUUGCUAUGUCUAAAGCCGCAUAUUCAAGCCAAGUCGAGCCAAACUUAGGUAAUUUAUUUUAUUUAUUCUACUUAUUUUAUUUAUUUAUUCCCUUAUUUGUUUAUGUAUUUAUUUUUUAAAAUAAUUUUAAAAACAUAUUUAAACAAAAAGACCUUACCAACAUUUUGGAGGGCUAAUGUUUUAUUUUCAAAAAUAAGGUUUUACAACAUAUUAUAGAACCUUUUGAGUUUUUUGUUUUUUUAAAUUUUACCAACAAAUUGAAGGCUAAUGUUUUAUCUUCAAAAAUAAGGUUUUACCAACAUAUUGGAAACCUUAUAAUUUUUUAAUAAAAAUCAAGUUCGAAAAACAAAAAAAAAUUAUAAAAUCUUACCAAUAAAUUAGAGGAUAAUUUUUGAAAGAAAAUCUUACCAAUGUAUUAGAGGAUAUUUCUGACACUAAACCAUGUUUAUAGAAAUUUAUUACCACAAGAAAAAUAAAAUUUAUUAGACAACAAAGCCUCUUCAAAGCGUGAUAAAUAGUCUCAUUGAAUACUCUUGAGGUGAGAAAAUAUUAUUAAAUUAUUACCAACAAAUUGGAGUAAUUUAAGCAAAAUUUCCAAUAUUGAAAUUAUUUGGUAAAUUACAAAUAUGUUUUAAGGAUUGGAUAACUUAAAAUCAAAUUGGUACCAUCAUAUGGAUGGGUGCUAUGAGGAUGCUAUAACCUUUCUCAUGCGUAACUGUCUCUUAAACCUAAAAUCUGGUUUCGUGGACUAGAAUUUACCUUUUAAAUUUACACAAAUCAAGUUUGGGAUCUCUUUUUAAAAAAAGAUAUAUUUAAUUAGGUGGCUAAUCACACCUAGGUAAAAAAAUGAUUGGUGGCGACUCCAUGAUUUUUAUAUCUAAUAGAUAGGUUCUCCCAACCUAAACAUUAUGACACUACUACAAAUACAUCAUAUGAUUGUUAGGAGCAUUGUUGCCCAUUGGCAACAAUGUUAUUUGAGUCUCAUUGGGUUCUAGUGCUUGACAGGGGCAGUGUUCUAUAUGGAAAUCUUAAUUUGAUGACCCAAGAAGGCUACCUCACCACUCUCAUGGAAUGAGGGUCAACACUUCUACUUCCUUGUCUAAACCUUCACUUCCAAAGAUGGUGUCCCCAAUGCCAGAGGACACAUUCUUGGUGGUAGUAGUGCCAUAAAUGCCAGCUUUUAUAGUUGACCAUUAAAUCUAUUAGAAAUCAAGUGCCAAUUGGGACCAAAAAGUAGUGAAUUAAGUCAUGCUACUUUGAAAUUCAAUUGUGUUUUUCAUAACAGUUUAAGGGAAUGGUUUACUUUGAGACAUACUUCAUUUGCUUCGCUUUUCUUUUUUUGACACAUUUUGUAUGGUGUUAGAAUCUUGUUCGAAGAUGUUUUUGCUAGUAGUGACCCAAAUUUAGAUGUUCAAGUCUAAUUUUGAGCAUUCCAAACAUAAAUUAAAUAUGAAUUGUAAGGAUUCAAGAGGCUCAUAGAGAAAAAAAUUAGCUAUGCCUAACAUGUGAAAUAGGUGCAUAAGGUUGUUGUGUUAAGCCUGGAAUAUAAUCAUGAAGUUGAAAGCUCCAAAGAUUCCUAAAAGCAUACCAUCAGAAAAACUUCCUUAACCGAUUGGAUAGAUCAAGAAAACAGCAGUAGCAGCUGCAACAGGAGCUGAGUAUGCAACAGCGAUCCAAGGGCGCAUACCCAGACGGAAACUAAGUUCCCACUCACGACCCAUGUAACAAGCUACACCAAGUAAGAAGUGUAAAACAAUUAACUCAUAAGGACCAAUUUUCCUUUCAGAUGUAUAUUAUUUUUGUGAUUUUGUUGUUUAUUUUACUUAGACGAUUUCUUUUUUUGAUAUUAUUUUUAUUCAUUUUUUUAUUUAUCACACAUUUCUUAAUUAAUUUUUUUCAAUAUUUUGAUCUAGACCAUAGUUUAGUAAAGAUAUGUCAGUAAUUCUCUUAUUCUUUAAUCUAUCAUUCAAUAUCAUAGUUUUAUAUUCUUCCAAAAAAUCAAAAUUAUAUUUAUACACAAUUCUUUUUUA